rnacentral:rRNA from 1 species
UGGGGAAUAUUGGACAAUGGGGGCAACCCUGAUCCAGCCAUGCCGCGUGAGUGAUGAAGGCCUUAGGGUUGUAAAGCUCUUUCGUCAGGGAAGAUAAUGACGGUACCUGAAGAAGAAGCCCCGGCUAACUUCGUGCCAGCAGCCGCGGUAAUACGAAGGGGGCUAGCGUUGUUCGGAAUUACUGGGCGUAAAGCGCACGUAGGCGGACUUGUCAGUCAGGGGUGGAAUCCCGAGGCUUAACCUCGGAACUGCCUUUGAUACUGCAAGUCUUGAGGAUGAGAGAGGUGAGUGGAACUGCGAGUGUAGAGGUGAAAUUCGUAGAUAUUCGCAAGAACACCAGUGGCGAAGGCGGCUCACUGGCUCAUUUUUGACGCUGAGGUGCGAAAGCGUGGGGAGCAAAC